rnacentral:lncRNA from 1 species
UUACAUAAACACAAAUAUAAAUUAUAACAUAAGCAUAAAAUAACAUAUUAUCGCUUGAUAAUUAAACAAUUUUUAAUACUAAUCACACCCCCCAACCAGCUUAUUGCUAGCCCUCUAGCAAUUAAAGCGUUAUAUUAAAUUAAGAUUUAUAAAAUUCACAUGCAAGUUAAUAGUUGUUCAUCUAUCCUCUAAAUUAGCAAAUAAAUGAACUCUCCCAAAUUCCUUUACCACAUUGAUGUUCACUCAUUAUCCAAAAUAUCAUCAAACCUUCUUUUGUGCUCAAGUAAUUAACACAAUACUUAUGGGGCUUCAUUAAAAGAAAAACAACAUUUUCGUUCCAAAAUUCAUUAGAAAUUAUAUCUUUAGGUAAUAGAUUAUUCACACGUAUUUUUUUUUAAUAUUACAUUUUUAACCCGUGUAGCGAGCUUUAGGUCAGUGACUCACAGAGCAGUAGGCCUUAGGGCACUAGGUGUUGAAGCACCCCUACGGACUUAAUUACUCGAUUUUUUUUUUUUUUUUUUUUUUUUUUUUUUUUUUUUUUUUUUUUUUUUUUUUUUUUUUUUUUUUUUUUUUUUUUUUUUUUUUUUUUUUUUUUUUUUUUUUUUUUUUUUUUUUUUUUUUUUUUUUUUUUUUUUUUUUUUUUUUUUUUUUUUUUUUUUUUUUUUUUUUUUUUUUUUUUUUUUUUUUUUUUUUUUUUUUUUUUUUUUUUUUUUUUUUUUUUUUUUUUUUUUUUUUUUUUUUUUUUUUUUUUUUUUUUUUUUUUUUUUUUUUUUUUUUUUUUUUUUUUUUUUUUUUUUUUUUUUUUUUUUUUUUUUUUUUUUUUUUUUUUUUUUUUUUUUUUUUUUUUUUUUUUUUUUUUUUUUUUUUUUUUUUUUUUUUUUUUUUUUUUUUUUUUUUUUUUUUUUUUUUUUUUUUUUUUUUUUUUUUUUGGUUUUUUUGUUUUUUUGUUUUUGGAAAUAUACACUUUCUACUACCUUAGAUACUAUUCCUAAUAAAUCAAAAGAACUAAAUGCUGUAAAACUUUAACUUACAACCCACUAGUAUGUGUCAUAGUGUGUGUGUGAAGAAUGAUUCAAUAAUACCUGUUAAAUGAGUAAACAAUUAAAUAACUUAAUAACCAAGUGGAGAGUUCACAAAUUUGAGUAAUUCAAAGAAAAGGGAACAAAAACAACUUACUAUGAAUCUCAAAAUCAAAAUAUAAUACAACAAGACUAUUAGGAUGCGUCUCAAAAGUCGUGACUCUUUACACAACCAUCCUAGACAAAAAAAAUGUUUUUUUUUGCUUUUUUUUGUUUUUGUUUUAACAAAGAAAAGAAAAGAGAAAAACAACACACAUUUUAAAAAAAACAUACGUCAAUUAUUCCCACCCCACAACCUAAUCUAAACAUUAUCUUAACAUUUUAUAAUUUUACAAAUAGGCAAAAAAUUAUAAACAAAAUAAUUAUAAUAAUAAUAAAAUAGAAUAAUAAAAGAAGAAGAAGAAGAGGUGAUAUCACCUGAACUUGAUGCAGAAGCUUAAAAGCGGAUAACAAAGAUGAAGAAAAAGUCAAAUUUUUUUUUUUUUUUGGAAUUGAAUGUUUUCAACAUGUGCAGGCAACCUAAUGAAGAAAAUGAGAAUGAAGAUGAUACUGAUGAACAAAAGGAAUUGUUUGAAUCUUGUAUCGAGGAAAAUAUUCAAAAAGGGGAUUUUUUUGAACUUUCUAAUGUUUGUUUAGUUAAUUCAAUUGAGUCAAAUAAGCAACUUGAACUUGAUAUUUCUAAUAUAAAUUCGUUGCUUGAUUCUGUGCAGACUUCACAAAAUUAUGAUGACGAGCCAAAAUUUGAGGAGCUUGGAAGUAUUGAAAAGAUAGAACAACAAGAAGCACCUAAAAUUGAAUUGAAACCUUUACCUGAAGGAUUGAAAUAUGCUUUUCUUGGCCAAGAACAAACUUAUCCUGUUGUGAUUUCUUCUAUUUUAACAAGCGACCAAGAAGGACAAAGAAGGGAUGGUAAGCCUUUUGUGAUUUAUUAUGCGAGUAAGACUUUGGAUAGUGCUCAAAUGAAUUAUUCUACAAUUGAAAAAGAAUUACUUGCUGUGGUAAUUCUUUCCCUGAUGAAUUUUUAUUUUCUGUUACUUCAAUGCCAUGGUAUGCUAACAUUGUUAAUUUCCUUGUUACAUGUAAAAUGUCUUUGCAAUGGAAUGCUCAAGAGAAGAAGAAAUUUUUUAUUGUAGUAAAGAAAUUUUAUUGGGAUGACCCUUAUUUGUUCAAAUAUUGCCCAGAUCAAAUUUUUCGGCGAUGUAUUCCUGAUAAUGAGGUAAGUAGUGUCAUUAGUUUUUGUCAUUCUAAAGCAUGUGGCGGUCACUUUUCUUCAAGAAAAACUACUGCUAAAAUUUUACAGUGUGGAUUUUAUUGGCCUACCAUGUUUAAAGACACAUAUGAAUUUUGCAAAAGUUAUGAAAAAUGUCAAAAAUUGGGAUCAAUUACAAAAAGAAACAUGAUGCCCUUAAAUCCUAUACUUGAAAUUGAAAUAUUUGAUUGUUGGGGAAUUGAUUUCAUGGGUCCAUUUCCAUCAUCUUUUGGAUUUGUGUAUAUAUUAGUUGCAGUUGAUUAUGUCUCAAAAUGGAUUGAAGCAAUUUCUUGUCGAAAUAAAGAUAGUAAAACUGUGGUUACAUUUUUAAGAGAAAACAUUUUAAGUCGAUUUGGAAUUCCUCGAGCCAUUAUCAGUGAUGGAGGUAAGCAUUUUUGUAAUAAGUCAUUUGAGUCUUUAAUGAAGAAAUAUGGAAUUACACAUAAAAUUGCUACCCCUUAUCAUCCUCAAACAAAUGGUCAAGUUGAAUUAGCAAAUAGGGAGAUAAAACAAAUUUUGGAAAAAACGGUUAACCCAAACCGAAAAGAUUGGUCUCUUAGACUUAAUGAUGCACUUUAGGCCUACCGUACUGCAUUUAAAACGUCAUUAGGAAUGUCACCCUAUCGGUUAAUUUAUGGUAAACCUUGUCAUUUACCUGUUGAACUUGAACAUAAAUCACUUUGGGCUAUUAAAUCUUUUAAUUCAAAUUUGGAUGAUGCUGGUAAUGUGCGAAAAUUGCAAUUGGAUGAACUUGAGGAAUUAAGGAAUGAUGCAUAUGAAAAUUCAAGAAUUAUUAAGGCAAGAACAAAAGCAUUUCAUGAUAAAAGAAUUUUUCGAAAAACAUUUGAGAUUGGUCAAAAAGUGUUGCUUUAUAAUUCUCGUCUUCAUUUAUUUCCAGGAAAGUUAAAGUCAAAAUGGAGUGGCCCAUUUGUUGUAAAAAAUGUAUUUUCAUAUGGGGCCAUAGAAAUUGAGAAUCCAAAUAACGGUGUCACAUUUAAAGUUAAUGGUCAAAGAUUAAAACCAUAUCUGGAACAUCACCCACGUGACGAGGACACCGAAAUUAAUUUGGGUGACCCACCAGUUCUUGAUUAAGUCUUUAUUGAUUUAUUUUAUUUUAGAAGUAAAGAAAUUUUAUUGGGAUGACCCUUAUUUGUUCAAAUAUUGCCCAGAUCAAAUUUUUCGGCGAUGUAUCCCUGAUAAUGAGCGUGUUUGUUUGACAGUUGUACAUUCUCUCAUCAAUUUUCAUUUUACAUCAUGAGCACCUCAAUGAGAAAAUACAUGUUCGCACAUCUUAAAAGAUUUCGGCAUAUAAAAUUUCACUUAAGAGGCUUGAUACAAAGCUGUAAAUCACAUCCACUUUGGGAUCUGCAACCACCAGAAUUCGUGUCCUAUGUUGAGGAUCUAGAGGGACAACUCAGAACAGUAGAGAGUGGCAUAUAUGAAUUUCAAAUGGAGCUUGAGGUUAACUCAAUGAGAGGUCGAAUGUAAGUUCAUUUUCCUUUUAUAUUGUGUGCAUCAAUAUAAAAGACCUGUUCGCAUUUAUUUCCAGGGAAGUUAAAAUCAAAAUGGAGUGGCCCAUUUGUUGUAAAAAAUGUAUAUUCAUAUGGGGCCAUAGAAAUUGAGAAUCCAAAGAGUUAAAAAUUACUUUUAAGUUGGGUAAUAGAUAUAUAGGAGGUUCGAAGAACGCUUCGAUGGUUGAUUAGUAUUAAAAAUUGUUUAAUUAUCAAGCGAUAAUAUGUUAUUUUAUGCUUAUGUUAUAAUUUAUAUUUGUAUUUAUGUAAUAUAUUAGGAAUUAUUAAUUAUGUUUUAAAUAUAUUUAAUUUUGUGUAUUUUUAUGUAUUUAUUAGGAAAAAUAUUAAUUUCACGUACCUGGAUUCCGGAGGUCCGAAAACCUUAAGAUCAGUCAAGAUCGGCUUAAAAUUGGGCUUGUGUAAAAAAAAGUUGACUUUUCCUGUUGACCGAGCACUGAUUGGAUGAUGAAAUGAGCUUACAAUAGAUAUGAGUGCAUGGGAUAAUUGGCAAUCUUGACUAAAUCUCAACCGUUCAUGAUUCAAUGGCCAUGAUUUUGCCACGUGGCAAUGGUUGGUGAAGCAAGUUGGAGGAUCCGAAUCUUUGUAUUUGGGUCGACCCGAUCCACCCAUUAACCCGCCAAAUCUCAACCGUUCUUUGGGUAAAUCGGACGAGUCAAAUGAUGCCAUGUGUGAUGUUGACUUUUGAAGUUUGACCAGCCAUUGGAUCUUGAUCUAAGGGUUGUGAGGAGCACAUGCAUGAAGCCUAUGAUGGACCGCAAAGCACGGGAUUAUGAAUUUAUUUUUUCUAUAAAUAGGGCCUCAUUUUUAUGUUUUAAUCAUCUCUCUACAACUCUCUUCUUCUCAAAUUCUCUCCAUCUCCUUGUAAUCUUGAUUUCCAGGUGUGUUUUUAAUAUUUUGUAUAAUUAUUUUUAUAAAUAAAAUUAGUUUUAUUUUCAAUUUUAGUUGUUUUUAUUUCUUUUAAUUAUAAGUAAUUCAAUUUUACUACUUCUUUUUAUUUUAAUUAUGCUUAACUAAAUAAUAUUAGUUAGGGGAAGGUGAAACUCUUAAGAAAUAAAUAUGAUUUAAUCAAAUUCUAUGUUUAAUUUUAUAAAUUAAAUUAUUUUCUAUUUAAUUUUAUACAUGUUUUAUAUUUUGAAAAUUUGAUUUAUUGUAGACAAACAAAUGAAUUUGGCACAAUAAAUUCUUAAGAUCUUAAUAUAAGGCAUGGUGAAAUGGUAUUUUGACUUAUUGUAGACAAAUUAAAUUUUGGCACAAUAAAUACUUAAUCCAUCAUAAAAUUAAAGGGAAAAUAAUAAUAAUUUGUAUAAUUAAUCUUUUGGGUAAUAAAUCGAAAAAAAUUGGCAAAAAGAAUUUAUUAAGUUUUAUUUAUUUCUAAGAGUGGAUCCAUAACCCUAACUAGUUCAAUUCCAUAGUUUCAUUUACAUUAAGUUGUUUAUAUUUAAGUUUUAAUUUCAAUUUUAAGUUAAAAUAAAGUAAACUAAUUAAAUCUUUUCUCUGUGGAUCGACCUUGGACUCACCGAGUUAUAAUACAACAAGACACUCUUAUACUUGCGAGUUAAAAAUUACUUUUAAGUUGUGUCAUAGAUAUAUAGUUAAAAAUAUUUUUUUGUCAAAAACUUGAACUCUAAAUUAGCAAAUAAAUGAACUCUCCCAAAUUCCUUUACCACAUUGAUGUUCACUCAUUAUCCAUAAUAUCAUCAAACCUUCUUUUGUGCUCAAGUAAUUAACACAAUACUUAUGAGGCUUCAUUAAAAGAAAAACAACAUUUUCGUUCCAAAAUUCAUUAGAAAUUAUAUCUUUAGGUAAUAGAUUAUUCACACAUUUUUUUUUUAAUAUUACAUUUCUAACCCGUGUAGCGAGCUUUAGAUCAGUGACUCCCAGACCAGUUGGCCUUAGGGCACUAGGUGUUGAAGCACCCCUACGGACUUAAUUACUCGGGUUUCUAAUAAACAAACUAUAUAUCUAUUACCCAUGUAGCGAGCUUUAGGCCAGUGACUCCCAGACCAGUUGACCUUAGGGCACUAGGUGUUGAAACACCCCUACGGACUUAAUUACUCGGGUUCCUAAUAAACAAACAAUAUAUCUAUUACCCAUGUAGCGAGCUUUAGGCCAGUGACUCCCAGACCAGUUGGCCUUAGGGCACUAGGUGUUGAAACACCCCUACGGACUUAAUUACUCGGGUUUCUAAUAAACAAACAAUAUAUCUAUUACCCAUGUAGCGAGCUUUAGGCCAGUGACUCCCAGACCAGUUGGCCUUAGGGCACUAGGUGUUGAAACACCCCUACGGACUUAAUUACUCGGGUUUCUAAUAAACAAACAAUAUAUCUAUUACCCAUGUAGCGAGCUUUAGGCCAGUGACUCCCAGACCAGUUGGCCUUAGGGCACUAGGUGUUGAAACACCCCUACGGACUUAAUUACUCGGGUUUCUAAUAAACAAACAAUAUAUCUAUUACCCAUGUAGCGAGCUUUAGGCCAGUGACUCCCAGACCAGUUGGCCUUAGGGCACUAGGUGUUGAAACACCCCUACGGACUUAAUUACUCGGGUUUCUAAUAAACAAACAAUAUAUCUAUUACCCAUGUAGCGAGCUUUAGGCCAGUGACUCCCAGACCAGUUGGCCUUAGGGCACUAGGUGUUGAAACACCCCUACGGACUUAAUUACUCGGGUUUCUAAUAAACAAACAAUAUAUCUAUUACCCAUGUAGCGAGCUUUAGGCCAGUGACUCCCAGACCAGUUGGCCUUAGGGCACUAGGUGUUGAAACACCCCUACGGACUUAAUUACUCGGGUUUCUAAUAAACAAACAAUAUAUCUAUUACCCAUGUAGCGAGCUUUAGGCCAGUGACUCCCAGACCAGUUGGCCUUAGGGCACUAGGUGUUGAAACACCCCUACGGACUUAAUUACUCGGGUUUCUAAUAAACAAACAAUAUAUCUAUUACCCAUGUAGCGAGCUUUAGGCCAGUGACUCCCAGACCAGUUGGCCUUAGGGCACUAGGUGUUGAAACACCCCUACGGACUUAAUUACUCGGGUUUCUAAUAAACAAACAAUAUAUCUAUUACCCAUGUAGCGAGCUUUAGGCCAGUGACUCCCAGACCAGUUGGCCUUAGGGCACUAGGUGUUGAAACACCCCUACGGACUUAAUUACUCGGGUUUCUAAUAAACAAACAAUAUAUCUAUUACCCAUGUAGCGAGCUUUAGGCCAGUGACUCCCAGACCAGUUGGCCUUAGGGCACUAGGUGUUGAAACACCCCUACGGACUUAAUUACUCGGGUUUCUAAUAAACAAACAAUAUAUCUAUUAUUUUUUUUUAUAUAUUACAUUUCUAACCCGUGUAGCGAGCUUUAGGUCAGUGACUCCCAGACCAGUUGACCUUAGGGCACUAGGUGUUGAAACACCCCUACGGACUUAAUUACUCGGGUUUCUAAUAAACAAACAAUAUAUCUAUUACCCAUGUAGCGAGCUUUAGGUCAGUGACUCCCAGAUCAGUUGACCUUAGGGCACUAGGUGUUGAAACACCCCUACGGACUUAAUUACUCGGGUUUCUA